rnacentral:rRNA from 1 species
UACAGAGGGUGCGAGCGUUGUCCGGAAUCACUGGGCGUAAAGGGCGCGUAGGUGGCGGCCCAAGUCCAUGGUGAAAGCUCGAUGCUCAACAUCGAGUCGGCCACGGAUACUGGGUGCUCGAGCACUGUAGGGGCAGAUGGAAUUCCGGGUGUAGCGGUGGAAUGCGUAGAGAGUCCGGAAGAACACCGGUGGCGAAGGCGGUCUGCUGGG